UAUGUUUUAAUGUAAGAGGCAUAUAAAUUUUUGAAGUUUAGAGAGAUAGUUUAAUUCUAUUAGACAUAA
rnacentral:tRNA from 1 species